GGAUGCAAGGACAAUCUGGCUGUGACAUCCGUCAUCCUAUUGAUCACCGAAGGUGAUAGGAGCAAGCUAGCUGGCUAGGUGGGUGUUCCUUUUCUCCCUCACCAUUCCUUGUGUGUCCCUCAAAAAGCUGUGCCCUCCAUCAGUGGAAGAGGAUACUCUUCUCUGAAUUGAGGAGGACUGGUCUUCNGUCAAGGGUCUACAAGUAGCUGUCUCUCCUGCUAGAACCUCCAAACAAGCUCUCAGAGUCAUUUUCUUUAAAACUCCAUAGGUGCAGAGAUCCCAUGUCGGUUGCAUCUUCAGCCUCAGAGUUCUGAAGGC
rnacentral:snRNA from 1 species